ACUAGUGAUUUCCGUAGGUGAACCUGCGGAAGGAUCAUUAAUCACAAUCCAAACCUACUCAACCAAGCCAAUCUGUUGCAGGGCGCAAGCCUAGCAGCUAACAACCUAACCAAAAGAAGCAUAACUAAGCUUUAAACCUAAACCAAAUCCUCAACGAUGGAUAUCUAGGUUCCUACUACGAUGAAGAACGCAGCGAAGUGCGAUAAGCAAUGCGAAUUGCAGAGCCGAGAGUCAUCAGAUUUUUGAACGUAACUGGCGCCAGGGAGCUCUCUCCCUGGCAUGCUUCUUUCAGCGUGUGCUUCUCUCCUGACCUAAACCUUAAUGCGAUAGAUGCCCUUCUAUUGCUAAGCUCGAAAGCACUCUGUACCCUGCAGCCAAAGCUUCGGCUGAGGCACUCAAUGCAGUAGUCACAUUCUCAAAUGUGAACUCAUUGAGAGUAGAGUCAGUGCAUGUUUACAUGCCAGUGCUUAGACACUCAAAUUUUACAUAGCAUCUGAUAUGAAGUAGGACCACCCGCCGAACUUAAG
rnacentral:rRNA from 1 species